rnacentral:rRNA from 1 species
GUAGGGUGCGAGCGUUAAUCGGAAUUACUGGGCGUAAAGCGUGCGCAGGCGGUUAUGUAAGACAGUUGUGAAAUCCCCGGGCUCAACCUGGGAAUUGCAUCUGUGACUGCAUAGCUAGAGUACGGUAGAGGGGGAUGGAAUUCCGCGUGUAGCAGUGAAAUGCGUAGAUAUGCGGAGGAACACCGAUGGCGAAGGCAAUCCCCUGGACCUGUACUGACGCUCAUGCACGAAAGCGUGGGGAGCAAACAGGAUUAGAUACCCUGGUAGUCCACGCCCUAAACGAUGUCAACUGGUUGUUGGGUGCAUUAGUACUCAGUAACGAAGCUAACGCGUGAAGUUGACCGCCUGGGGAGUACGGCCGCAAGGUUG